UACGGAGGGUGCAAGCGUUAAUCGGAAUUACUGGGCGUAAAGCGCACGCAGGCGGUUUUUUAAGUCAGAUGUGAAAUCCCCGAGCUUAACUUGGGAACUGCAUUUGAAACUGGCAAGCUAGAGUCUUGUAGAGGGGGGUAGAAUUCCAGGUGUAGCGGUGAAAUGCGUAGAGAUCUGGAGGAAUACCGGUGGCGAAGGCGGCCCCCUGGACAAAGACUGACGCUCAGGUGCGAAAGCGUGGGGAGCAAACAGG
rnacentral:rRNA from 1 species